UACGGAGGGUGCGAGCGUUGUCCGGAAUCACUGGGCGUAAAGGGCGCGUAGGUGGCGCGGGAAGUCAACGGUGAAAGUUCGGGGCUCAACCCUGAAUCGGCCGUCGAUACUCCCGGGCUCGAGCACUGUAGAGGCAGAUGGAAUUCCGGGUGUAGCGGUGGAAUGCGUAGAGAUCCGGAAGAACACCGGUGGCGAAGGCGGUCUGCUGGGCAGUUGCUGACACUGAUGCGCGACAGCGUGGGGAGCAAACAGGG
rnacentral:rRNA from 1 species